rnacentral:tRNA from 1 species
UAUAUUUUAGUAUAUGACGUACAAAAGUUUUUGAUACUUUGAGAAACGGUUUAAUUCUGUUAAAUAUAA